GGGAAGGUGGCUCAGUGGUAGAGUGCUUGCCUUGCAUGCAUGAAGCGCUGAAUUCAAGCCUCAGGACUAGGAAAAAAACAGUUUCUGUAUGCUGGUAACAAAGCCUUCUCA
rnacentral:tRNA from 1 species